CUCCGGUAAGGGCGGUGAAAUAGACCUGAAACCAUAUGCCUACAAGGAGUCAGAGCGGGUAUUUAUAUCCGUCAUGGCGUGCCUAUUGAAGAAUGAGCCAACGAGUUUUAGCAUACUGCUCGGCUAAGCCCGCGUAGGGUGGAGCCAUAGGGAAACCGAGUGUGAAUAGCGCGAUCGUAGUAUGCUAAAGACCCGAAGCCAAGUGAGCUUGUCAUGAGCAGGGUGAAGUUUCGCGAAAGCGAGAUGGAGGCCCGAACCGGUGACCCGUGCAAUAGUCUCGGAUGACUUGUGAUAAGAAGUGAAAAGCUAAUCGAACUUGGUAAUAGCUGGUUCUCUCCGAAAGAGCUUUUGGGUUCGCGUCACGCGUUCCCUACAGGGGUAGAGCACUGGAAGGUCUCAACAGGGAGAAAUCUCGUGAGACCUAUCAAACUCCGAAUACUGUAGGUUAAAAGCGUGGCAGUUAGACUCCGGGGGCUAAGCUCCGGUGGUCAAAAGGGAAACAGCCCAUGAUCUCUAUUUAAGGUCCCUAAAUCUACACUAAGUGCACUUAAGGUGGUGAAGUUUCUCUAACAUUGAGGAGGUUGGCUUAGAAGCAGCCAUCCUUUAAAGAAAGCGUAACAGCUCACUCAAAUAGAGACUUCGCGCCGCAGAUACUCGGGGCUAAGUGUAGUACCGAAACUGAGGGCUUUCAUUGCAUUCGUGCAGUGGGAGCGGUAGGAGAGUUUUCGCAUCAGCUGUGAAGGUAAAGGGGUGACCCAUACUGGAGCGUUGCGAAGUAAGAAUGUUGGCACAAGUAACCACAAGACAUGUGAGAAUCAUGUCCGCCGAAAGAACAAGGUUUCCUUGGCGAUGUAGAUCAGCCAAGGGUUAGUCGGGCCUAAGAAAAUGCCGAAAGGCGCAUUCGAUGGACACAUGGUUAAUAUUCCAUGACCCGCACGUUUGCGAUGGAGGGACGGGGUUUAGUAACGAGAGCGACUUAUUGGAUUGUCGUUUUUGCUGUAAGGGCGUGCUUUAGGAAAAUCCGGAGCAUAUAACCCAAGCAGAGAAGAAAAGUGUGUCUUCGGACAUGCUGAUUCUCGUGAGCAGACCUUCAAGAAAAACUUCUAAGCUCUAGAACGUGCGGACCGUACCGCAAACCGAAACAGGUGUUCAGCUCGAGUAGAGUAAGGCGAACGAGUGAGAAAUCUCCAAGGAACUCGGCAAAAAAGCAGCCGUAACUUCGGAAUAAGGCUUGCCCCAGCAAUGGGGCCGCAGCUAAAGUAUCUCUGGCAACUGUUUAUCAAAAACACAGCUCCCUGCGAACUCGUAAGAGGAUGUAUAGGGGGUGACACUUGACCAAUGCCAGAAGGUCAAAUAUCGGCGGUGAAUGGAUCUUCGGAUUUAUUUGCUGACUGAUAUAAGCCCUGGUGAAUGUCGGCCGUAACUAUAACGGUCCUAAGGUAGCGAAAUUCCUUGUCGGAUAAGUUCCGACGCGCACGAAUAGUGUAAUGACUGGAGAACUGUCUCGGAGAUCCGCUCGGUGAAAAUACAAUC
rnacentral:rRNA from 1 species